AUGCCUGAAGCUGCAAUGGAAGAAGAAGAUGAUUCUGUUGUCUUGAGGAAAUUGAAGCCAAAAAUUCCAGAUCACAAUGAUGCUCAUCCAGUUGCAGAGAACAUGAAGAUCAGGAAGGACUCAGGUCUAAGGCUAUGGAGAGAGUCUGAUCCAUAUGCCACCAGGAGAAGGACUGCUGUGGACUACAGGUUCCAUACAAAGGAACAUCAUGACUUCUAUGAGACCAUCUUGCUUGACAAGAAACCAAUAGUAUGUGACAUGAGAUGGGUCGACUGGGAGUACAUCAAGGAGAAUGAUGAACAUUAUCGGUGUGUAUGA
rnacentral:rRNA from 1 species